AAUGAACGCUGGCGGCAGGCCUAACACAUGCAAGGCGAACGGAUCCUUCGGGAUUAGUGGCGGACGGGGGAGUAACGCGUGGGAACAUACCCUUUGGUACAGAAUCGCCUCGGGAAACUGGGAGUAAUACCGCAUGUGGUCGAGAGACGACAGAGUUAUCGCCAAAGGAUUGGCCCGCGUUGGAUUAGGUAGUUGGUGGGGUAAUGGCCUACCAAGCCGACGAUCCAUAGCUGGUUUGAGCGGAUGAUCAGCCACACUGGGACUGAGACACGGCCCAGACUCCUACGGGAGGCAGCAGUGGGGAAUCUUAGACAAUGGGGGAAACCCUGAUCUAGCCAUGCCGCGUGAUCGAUGAAGGCCUUAGGGUUGUAAAGAUCUUUCAGGUGGGAAGAUAAUGACUGUACCACCAGAAGAAGCCCCGGCUAACUCCGUGCCAGCCGCCGCAGUAA
rnacentral:rRNA from 1 species